AAGCAUUUGUCUUAACUUGAGAACAAAAUGGAAUUCUAAUUAAAGUAGUUACAAGAAAAGAAAAAUCAUGACAUUAAGAUAACAUGUAAUCUUGGAAGAGUUUAAAAAUAGCAAUUUCUGUCUCCCAAAGUGGUAUGAUUUUGAUUCCCUUAGGCAUAGAGAACUUUGUUUACGGUGGUUUAACUUUGCAGUUUGAUAGAAGUCAGUAUCUUCAAAAAACUAAAACAAAACCUAGGAACUCAGGGAUGGAGUGAUACCCGUAUCUGUGUGACACAUUAGCUAUUUUGUCAGUUCUAUAUUCCCAAGUUGGAAUUUAAUAUAAAAGAAAUACCUCAUUACUUUGUUCUAAAUCGUGUCUGAUCCAACAUGGAAGAAAUAGAUUUGGGGGGCUUUCUUAUUAGAAAAAAAUCGUAUCUUUGACUGAAUGAAAUAGUUCCUGCAAAAAGCAACUUGGAAUUCACCUUUGGUCUCCUUCCUGUCUUUAGCCUAUUUUCUAUAAAAAAGGUUUCUAGAUUUUAGGGUCUGCUUAGUUUUGGUUAUCUCAGCUGUAAUAAGUAGCCUUGGGACCCCCGAAGGCACACCCCACACACUUAUGCUGCGUGACCUAAGGUCACAAGUAAUGGCCGCAAGCUAAUUGAUUGAGAAAGGCUUGUCUGGCGGGGCCUCUUUGCGUCCUCUCUUUACAUUCCUUAGUCCUGUGAAAGAGGCACUGGCCGCUCAGCUAGCAAGGAAGGAAAAAAGAGAGGAAGUUUCUCCGCGUUCUGAUUACUCUCUGAAUUCCCUUGUAGCGAGCUUACUUCUCUCCACCCACUUCUUACCGAGAACUUAAUUUGAAGGUGAACAACUUAAAGCCUGUUCCCAGAGAGGUCCCCGAAAGGUGAUUUGAGUGUUUACCGAACUGAAGGAACAAAUUACCUACUUGAGGCGGUGGGCAGCGUACGGAAACGCUAUUAGAACUUCAGCAAAGUGCACAGCUGCCUAAUACCGAAGCCGGGACUCAGAUUGAUAGGCAAAUCAGCCAGCUCCUGGAAGGGCCCUCUGGGUGGCGGCUCCGGGCUGGGCUAGUGGGUGCUGGACAACUGUAGGCAAAACAGAAAUGAAGCAGGGGCAGCAGAUAGCACACUUUUACGCCACGCAACUGUUGCUUUCGCAUGGUUAUUGAUCAUUAAAAUGGCAUUGUAAAGGGAUGACUCAGAAAUAACAGAGCUUGUUGCUGCUUCUGAGAUAAAGAAAAUUCUCGAUGUCAAGAUUUAAAUAGAGAAGAGAAUGAGAUAUACAAAAUGGGUAUUCUUGAAGUUAAUCAGAGAAAUAUUCAUGCACCUGUAAAGGGAAAAACUUAAAAUGGAUAUGAGAAGUGAAGAAAGUGAUCAUAGGAGAAAAUCAUCUCAGAUCAACCACUUCAGAAGAACCAGAUUCCACUUCUGUGGCCAGGACUUUUAUGUUAUGGCUGGUCCGAUUGUUAUACACUGCGUUUUAUGCUACUAAACCUUGGAUCAUUCCUAAAGUACCAAUUCUGUUCUUGAACCACAAACAAGGCUAAAAGAUCGGAGGAAAUUCAGUGAAUAUGCAGGAUUGGGAUUGUGUAUUUUCAAAAGUAUUGAGCUUUAUAAUGCAAUUAUUUAAGAAAUAGAAUCUUUUUUUUUUUCUUCUCAUGUUGCCAGCAUUUUAAGUUACAUGUUUAUUAAGUGGCAUUGCUCAAAUAGCUACAGAGUAUGCAUGGAAAUAUUUGCUGUCUGAAUAGUUUGGAGAUUCAAAGAGAAAAAUCAAGCUUCAGAGGUAUUAAGUUAUAACAUGCAAAAAAAGUUUUCGUUUUAUUCUUAGCUGCAACAGUAUAUAUUUAAAUCAGAUUUAAAGUGUUAUAUGUCCUUGGCCCACCUUAACAGUUGUACUGUAAAGAAGUGUAAUGGGAAGCAGAAUUUCAAUUAGAGUCCCAUUAACUGGCAUAUAAUCCUUCUUUAAUGUAAUAGAGGCUAUGGUGUUUCUGUACAAAUCUGCUAGAAACAGAUUUUAACCCAUUUUUAGUCUCUUUCUUUGGAUCUGAUGGAAUGACUCUUAACUGUUCAUUGUCUGCAUUGUUUCUCAUAUUCUUCAUUAUUUUAAGGUCUGGAAUUAGUCUAUAAAUGGUCGUCGUGAAUAUUCAGCUAAUCCUAACUUUUAUAUAUCCUAUAUAUUUCUACGUAUGUAUUUUAAUUAGUAUUUAGAGGAAAAAGUUUAACUGAACCCAACUGUAAUUUCUAAACUAGCCUUAUUACUGGAAGAAGAAUUCUACCGCAUCAAACCAGACUUUUCCUAGUCCCUGAGACCCUAACUUGUGAGGUAUUUUAGUAACAUCACAAGUCAGGCUCUUGGGACCUAGGCGGAGGGGAACCAGCAGCUUUGGACCUUAUUGAUUGUCUGCAGUUACCACCAGAACAAAAGAACAUACAUAGAUUCUGCCUAGGAGAAAAGAACAAUGCUUUUCUUUAUAAUCAGCAAUGUUUUCAUCAUGACCCACCCCCAAAUAUACUAUUUUCAGAAACUGUACUCAAAAGUGAUUAUAGAGUUGCACUGAGUAGCAUUUGUAUUAUAUUAUAAAGACCAUAUGAAAGCAAUAGAAGAUAACUAUGUGAGAAGCAAAGUUAAAAUACAGGUGUUUUUAAAAUGCUUCUUUUAAUGUAUUUUGAGAGAGUCUAAGAGAAUACCUCCUUAGUUAAUAAGGAAGAGAGUGGUUUAUAUUUAAAACUUCUUUCAUAUGCAUAGAAAUAUAUACAUUAGCUACUUACAUAAAUCCUAUAUGUCUCCAUGUAAUUAUGGCUCAGAAUAUGUAAUGUAUAGCUAUAAUCAUGCUUGAGGCCUAGAAAUAAAUCAUUUACAAUCUUCUUUACUGACCCUAUUAGUUUUUACUACUGAUUUAAGGAGAAUGCUAUUUUAUACUUGGUAUUUACUCCCAGAGUUUUCCUUAGUCUUUUAACCAGACGAAAUACUUUAUAUGCCAUAUUUUAAUAAGGCAUACUCUGGUUGUAAGAGUCAUCAGUAAUUAGCAAAAAUAUGGUACCUUUUCGUCUUUACAUUUUACUUUGUAUAUAUAUCAUGAACCUAUGUGAGAUAAAUCAGUAAACACCACCUAUGAAGUCAGACUGCUCUAUUCAUGUGUCAACUGAAUCUGAACUGCAUAGUUUUCGUUUUUUAAGAAUUUCAGUUUUAUAAACUAUUCCAACUAUAACUACCAUGUCAUAUUUGAACAUUAUUAGCCAUUACCACAUCACAUAUUUAUUUCUUGUAAGUGGAAUCAGUAUAUUAAACCCCUUUACAGAUUUUACAAUAAUAUUGCAGAUACUAAGAUUCAAAAUGGAGAUGACAGACUUUCCAUAAUAGAAGAACCGAAAUGAUUUCAUUCUCUUAACUCUAAUGCUUUACAUGGGUGCUAUAAAUUAUAUGUAUCUUCUGCAUUGUUAAAAUAAAUGUAUGAAUGUACUUUAGAACACUGUAUGGAGUCUUUGUUCACCUUUUCAUUGGAUUUAUUACAAUUACUCAUGUUUGAAAUAUCCCAGGAUCCUAAUCACCCAUGACUUGUAUUUCCUGAAAAAUUGAUACUACAAUAUUAUAAACAUAUUCUUCAUCUAUACAAGCCACAUAGAAUAUGUUUAAGCAUGUGUCCACACUGUACCUAUUCAGAUUCCUUAUUUAUAUCACCUAUUUCAUUUAUCUAGAAUCUCUGAAAUUUUAAGUGUGUAUAUGUGUGUGUAUAAACAUAGGUUUUAAAACUCCAUCUGAAAGGAGGUAAUAUAAACAGUGAAGAUUUUUGGUAGUAUUGAUCUUUUACUUGUUUUAACCACGUUUUCAUUAUAAUUAGACAGCUUUAAAAGCACAAGUUUCUCAAUUCAAAGAACUCUAUGUGUAUGUAUCUACAAGUGCAUAGAGACUUGAUUAUAUUUAAUAGCAAUGUUUAUAUAUCCGAUCAGGAAUGACCUCAUAUAUAAAACAAUGUCACAUACAGGUAUAUGUUUGCAGACACCUGAUUCAACACAAUCAUAAAUAACACGUAAAAGGUGUUUCAUAAAUUUACUUCUAAAAUAAUAUAAGGGAUGAUUGUUUAUUGGCUAUAGUGAUAUCAGAUAUAAGCUAUUUCAAAUGCAAUAUUUUCUAUGUUAUUAUAUCUAUGAACUGCACUAUAUAUUAACUUCUGUUUCAUAGAAGAAAAAUGCCAGAGCUGAAUUUAGCGUGCAGUGAUGUUUAUCUUGCUUUUUUACUAAUCAUCGUGCAUUCGUUGAACCCUCUCAAUGUAACCUUCCUGCAUAUAAACUAUCUUUUCUGAGAACAUCAUUGAUAAAGCUUUUCUCUUACUCCAUAAAGGUGAGUAGAGAUAUAAGUGGGUGACUUUGUUUAUAUAAAACUACUUUAUGCUGUAUAUGGAUAGAUGAAUGCCACUUUUUCUGCAUUUCUACCUAAGCUGUCACAGAAUAAUAUUGUUUGGGGGGUAUAAAAUAUGAUUUGGAAAAUCAGAUCAUACUAAGCUUAAAAUAAAAGGAGAGGUCUACAACAAAGAACGAGAAAAUUAUGUGUGUUGCAUACAAAAAAAAAAAAAAAAAAAGCAGUGAUAUUAACAAUUCGAUGGCUUCCUGGUUGGGAGACCAGCCUGAGCCAGACGCAUAUAUUAAGAGCUGUCUGCUGCCGAUGUGAGCUUGCUCAAUGCGGUGGAAAUGAGGAAUCACCUCCUCUCUGACACCAGCUUAUUUUCACAUUUUAAUUUUGAAAUAGCAAAUCACUGUUUUACAUAAAUAUACUAACCUCCGCUUGAUUCUUAUUCUUUUCUCAGAUUGCUUGUUAAUUUACUAUGAACUUCAAGUUCCUUUUUUAAAAAUCAUCACUCACUUUAAACUUAUCAGUUUAAAAUCUAUCAAAGACCAAUGAAGUAUUAGUUUUUUUCUGUCUCUUUUGUAUUGCUCUGUUAAUAUUGUGAUACUCAUGCAUUUAACUUUUAAUCUCUGUAAGGAAAAUGUCAAUUUUCCAAAAUGGCAUUUUUUUUUAGGUCUUUUAGGAUCCAUCAAGGCAGUCACUUCUGGAAUUUUGCCAAAUCUAAAUAUGAUUAUAUUUCAUUGCAGGGUUCAUGGGAUCAAUAUUUUUCUUCGUAUGAAAGUCCUUAACACUUUAGUGUUCCAGAAGCUAAAGAAGAGGUAUAUAGAGAUAUUCUUAAGUCAUUUAGGCUUUAGGCUACAUUAAUAAUCUCUAGAAGAGGUAUAAGUAUCACAGGGGAAUUAUAGUAUAAGUUAAUUACUAAUGAAAUCAGAAAAGGUGUAUACUGCCUUCCAUUCUCUUCCAAAUGGGCAUGCCUAAGUUUGGUCGAAUUCACCUGAUAAAUAUGUAAAUGGUUUUACAAGCUGUCAUAUUUGGAUAGGUUUUGAGAAAACAGUACGUAAAGGGUUAGCUAACGCCCAAGUUUUCUUGCCAUUUACACAUGCAGUGCUGCCUACAUUUCCGUAGGCAGCAAGCACAGGCAUCAUUUUGAUUACUUGGAUUCUUUUGUUUAAUUUCUUACUAGACAUUUAACUCGGUACUCAAAUUCCACUGAUCUCUUAGUAACUGUAUUUGGAAAAGGAAAAUGAAGUUUCUAAUAUAGAGAAGUUUUAAAAAAUCCUGGGCAUUUGUAAGCAUCUGAAAAAUAGACUUUUUCGUGUAGCUAUGCAAAUACAUGUUUAGUGUGCAGAAACUUAGGUGCUAUUAUUAUCUGUCAUCUCCAUACUUAGUUUUCUGAUGAUUUGUGGUCAAAUACACACUGAAGCACAUAUGCAUAUAUUUAUUAUAUAUGUAUAUAUCUUCAUUUGUAAAAAGUCUCAAUAAAAUCAAUGUAAAAAUUGACAUAUUGUCAUAAAAUCAUCCACAGCAGCUUUUCAGUGAGUUAGCUUCAACUUUCAUUGCCUUUUCCCCAAAUCUCUCUUAUGUUAAAUGUAGCUUUACCGGAUGAAGUGCCUUACUAUCCGGAACUGUUAACUUGUAUGUAAUGUUUUACUUGUGGAAGUUUAAAAGCAGGUGAAACUUGAAGGUAAUGAUAUUAAGGGAAUGUAAGAUUAAAUAGUUUUGUUUUUAUAAUCAGUCAGCUAAUUUCAUGCAUGUUUUAUGGGGAAUUUAAAAGUGAAAAAUUCUCAUAUGGUGACAUAAAUCUUUCAUUGUUCAUAUAAGUAGUGUGAUUUUAAGUUUGUUACCUUAAUAGUUGAUUCCUAAAAAAGUGUAUGAAUAAUCAUGGACUGCAUAUCAGUUAGGUUAAUGAAAUAAGAAUAGUGACUUCCACUUUGCAUCUUAGUCUUUUAAGGUAUUUUGGCUUCUUUUAUGCAGGUGGAUUUAACCAUUCCUUUUUUCUAAGAAGUUUCUCCCUCUCUGUUGGUAGGUGUCUGAUGAUUUGUGAGCACCAAGUGACUAUUCUGUGGAAUCAUCUUUCCUUGCCAUUGAAUUAGCUUUCCCUAGGCCAUGAGUCAACAUCAAUGUUUUGUACAUCCAAAUUGCUGUUACAGGGAAAUGAUGCCAGAAGUCAGCCAAAGGAAGAGACACAACGCAGAGUCUGGAGGGUUCCAAAUGUGAAGCUGUCCUUGUUCCCAGGACCUGUUGCCCUUCUAGUAUUGAUCUGUGACAAUACGCAUGUGGUAACGCCAAGGGGGAAGCUUUUGUGAGCUUCAGCAUCCAGAGUUUUUAUUGAGGCUUCAUUGCAUAAGCAUGAUCGAUUGAUUUACCAGGUUUUCCAGAGGGUCCACCAUGAAAAACAGAGACGCCUGUCACUUGGAAAAUCCCAAGGGUUUAGAGGUUACCUCCCAGGACCUAUGUACAAAAAUGGCCACACCUCUUUUGGAUGAGGCCAAUUUCCUCACCAUGCAAUAUCAUUUACUAUUUUCUUGGGUAAAAUUCUCCGAUUCCUUAAUGUGACAUGAAAUAUAGCUUUAGAAGCUAAACAUAUCUUGGUUGCAUUUCUGUAGAUAAGUCCUAAUUUACCAAUGUUCUCUUUUGGGGUCCAGGCUUAGGGUAACUUUGAUAACAAAAUAUAUACCUUGUGUCACUACAAGCUACAUUGAAGUAUUACUACUGUAAAGUAUGAAAUAAUACUUUAGAGUCAGGGGUCAGACAGACAGAGAGAAUCCUGACAUUUAACAGCCAUUAGACCUUGUGAAUGCUACUUAUUCUUUUCUGAGCUUUCAUUUUUUCAUAGAGAGUUAAUAAUAUUCCAUAUAUUAUGGGAACUAAGUGAGAUCACAUGUAAAAUCUUUAAUGUAUCAUAGGACCUUAAUAAAUAUUAGUUCGUGUCUGGAAAAAAUGUUGGAUGAUAUGAAUUUGUGUUUGAGGGGUUAUCUUAGGCAACGUUUGCCUGUCCAGUCUUCUAGACUAGAUGUAUGCAUACAUUAUUAAAACAAAACAGAAUUCAUUCAAUUUAUCAAAUAUUUAUCUAAAUCCAACUGAGAAGUGUAAAGCAUUAUGCUAGCAACUUAGAAAAAGGCAGUUUCAGCCUUCCUGGAAUGAGAACAUUUUCAUUAAUAUCUUUGAUAUAAGUAGACCGCAGUAGGUGUUGAAUUAAGGUACAUAUCGGAUGCAGUGAUGGAAGUGCAAGAGAAAAAGAAAGUCUGACUGGGAUUAUUAGAGAAUGCUUCCCUAAGAAGGUGAUAUGUCUGAAAGGCCCAAUGUACUAGCAGGCUUUGAUAGCACUUUUAGGAAUAGUGAAUACCAUUUUUCAGAAUUUAUAAAUGUAUUUACUUGGUGAAAAGUGAAUUUUAUGACAAGGUAUAUAUAAAUUUAUCAUAAACAUAGGAACAGAUCAUAAAUCAAAUUAUCUUAUAUCAGAAAUAAGUUCUCUAAAAAUAAGAGGCAAUGUUAAAAAACUUUUAACUAAAAGCUUAAUCUUUGUAAUAAAAAUAUCUCGUUGAUUUUAAGGGAUGUAAAGAGAUUGCUUCUAUUCAUUGCAUUUUAAAAAUUCAGAGACUAAAAAAAAUUAAAAAAUAAAAAUCCA